GCCACGUGAUGAUACAAAGGCGAGUGUGACCUCACGGCAACUGGAACUGAGGGGGCCGCCUGACCUCUGGGGCGGGGGAGGGUCUGUAAUCUUGGCGGGCGCAUCUGAGACCCGCGCGCCCGCUGUAAGGCCGGACCUACAGCAAGAUCCCGCGCCCGGCGACCGCGGAAGAGGCCGGGGGUGAGAGGGCGUCGCCCCGGCAGCGCUCGGGAGCAGGGCGCGGACACGGGGUGGGAGGGGUCGACGGGUGGGAGGUCAGGCGGGUGCCCCUCGAACCAGCCGGAGAGGAUGAUCGCACAUCUUUGGUAAUCUGAUGGCU